rnacentral:tRNA from 1 species
GGCAGUGUGGUUUAGUGGAGAAAACAUGGGCCUGGGAGUCAAAGGACCUGGGUCCUAUUCCUAACCCUGCCA